GAACUGAAGAGUUUGAUCAUGGCUCAGAUUGAACGUUGGCGGCAGGCCUAACACAUGCAAGUCGAACGAGAAAGCGCCUUCGGGCGCGAGUAAAGUGGCGGACGGGUGAGUAACGCGUAGGAAUCUACCCAGCGGUGGGGGACAACUCGGGGAAACUCGAGCUAAUACCGCAUGACAUCCCAAGUCUUCGGAGGCGGGAUCAAAGGGGGCCUCUCCUUGGAAGCUCCCGCCGUUGGAGGAGCCUGCGUUGGAUUAGCUUGUUGGUGGGGUAACGGCCCACCAAGGCCACGAUCCAUAGCUGGUCUGAGAGGAUGAUCAGCCACACUGGAACUGAGACACGGUCCAGACUCCUACGGGAGGCAGCAGUGGGGAAUCUUGGGCAAUGGGCGCAAGCCUGACCCAGCCAUGCCGCGUGUGCGAAGAAGGCUUUAGGGUUGUAAAGCACUUUCAGUGGUGAAGAAAAGCCCGGGGCUAAUACCUCCGAGUCUUGACGUUAGCCACAGAAGAAGCACCGGCUAACUCCGUGCCAGCAGCCGCGGUAAUACGGAGGGUGCGAACGUUAAUCGGAAUUACUGGGCGUAAAGCGCGCGUAGGCG
rnacentral:rRNA from 1 species